AUGUAUGCAUAUGUAUAUAUAUACACAUACACAUGUAUAGACCGUUAGAAUAAGUACUAGGCUUGCAGGGAAUAAGUCCUGGGGGCGAUUUGUACGACUACAGGUGGUGGUCCAGCACGGCUGCACUCAAAUAACGGAAACAAGU